GGAGUUUUUGUUUCUCCUCUCCAGUGAUGCACAGUUUCUGGGCUCUUCCGAAGGGCCAGGCAUUGUGAAGGGCGUGGAGGUGGUGGCCGGGGUGGGGGUGGAGGAUAGCAAACAAAGAUACGUGAAGCAUCAAAGGCGUGAGAGCGCACCCGCUUCCUCAGGGGGCCCAGAGCCCGCAAACCGCAGGCCACGGAAGUCACCUACGGUCCAGCGGUAGAAACUCCACCGGCUGUGGGUGAGCUGGGAGCUCAUCCUCCAGGGGACUUUUUCAGAUGCUAAGAAACGCACUUUCUGCCUGCCGCGUAGCUCGAGCGGACAGUGCCAGAAGCCUUUGAUUAAUAUGGAAAUAAAAAGCAGCAAUGGUGGCAGUACUUGGUUUCCUCGCAGUUGUUUGGGGAUUUAUCGACGCAGAGAUAAACUUCAGUCUGGGGCAUCUCCGUAAUUCACGUCCCCGUUAGUUAUAACCAAAUGAGCAAAUCGUUUUUUCUUUGAACUGUGUGUGUGUGUGUGUGUGUGUGUGUUUUUUUUUUUUUUUUGACAAAAUAAAAAGGGGGACGCGGGAAAUUUUUUUUUAAUGGGAUUAAAGUCAGUCGCGUGCUUGGGUCCCUAGCUCCUUACCUCUGGACUCCAGAGUUCACCAGGCUGUGUUCCGAACAUAAAACAAUCCUGUAAUUUCCUUUCAGAACAAAAGUUUUCAAAGCAGUGACCUGCACGGUGGCCCCUGCCAAGAAAGGCGAAGUGACUUAAUGGUUUGUUAAUUACUCCGCCCCUGCAGGGGGAGGGAAGCUGCAGAAUGGUUCUCCACAGACCCUCUGUGGCCCUCCCCAGAUGUACAGCUGGGGCUGGACCAGAUCAAAGGCAGGAUGGAGGCACUUACCUCAUUAACCCAAGAAAAAAGGAUUUUAAUAAAUUCAUAAUGUAGGAGAAAAGAAUGAUGAAAGUUCACAUUUAAAACUCACCCAUGCUUAUUGGUGCACACAAAGGUGAUUUUUGUGGAGAAUGUAAUGUGAGAAUGACUACCAUCUGACAGAGUUUACAGUGUACAGAGCAGGUUAAAAAUGGCUUGUAACAUUUUAAUCACUGUUUUACUAAGUACUAAGUACUUUCCCAGUCUACAGUACUUAGUUCAUGUUACACUAACUAAUAUUUAUUAAGUACUUCCAUAUGACAGGCUGACAAUGACAGACUAUGGAAUAUACAAGUAUUUUAGCAUAUGAACACAUUGAUAAUGAUACUACUAUUAUGAGUAUUUCAUAGCAAUAAAAUC
rnacentral:lncRNA from 1 species